UCUGUUCCAGAUAUGGUUCAUCUCAAAGCCCUUUACCCUUUGGAGCCAGGCCUGUUCGAUUUUACAAAUAGCACGUUUUGCUUGUAGUCAGGGUGCUGUGACAACAUGAAAAGUUCAAGCUACCUCCCAGGAUGAGUGCAGGUUUUCCUGGUGACAAAUCUCAGGCAUUCAAAGGUUCUGUUAGCAGUGCCAUACUUGGGUUUACAGAGAUGGUGUGUCUGACUGAGAGCAAAGGAGCCAUACCAGGUAUAUGUCUUAGUAAUGCUUUUUGUAGUAUAAGGUUGAAUAUAUAAUACUUAGACCUAGUGAAUUCCUGCUCACCCUGAUGAACUGAAUACCGCCCCAGUCUGAUAGCUGUGAAGAAAGGUAUUUUCUGAGUUGUGAGCUCAUCUUGGAUCAAGUAGGAAAUUUUUUAUGCUAAUACUAGCAUAAGCUUUUGUUAAAGAAGCUUAAGCAUUAAUGGCCCAAGUUGUUUGCUAUUUUGCAGGAAAGUUGAAGCAUAUCUUCAUUUUCAAGUCCAGGCUAAAAUAAGGUGAGAAAA
ensembl:processed_transcript